rnacentral:tRNA from 1 species
GCCUGGGUGGCUCAGUUGGUUGAGCAUCUGACUCUUGAUUUCGGUUCGGGUCAUCUCAGAGUUCGUGGGUUCAAGCCUCACACUAGUCU